rnacentral:rRNA from 1 species
AACGAACGCUGGCGGCAUGCCUAACACAUGCAAGUCGAACGAGACCUUCGGGUCUAGUGGCGCACGGGUGCGUAACGCGUGGGAACCUGCCCUUAGGUUCGGAAUAACUCUCCGAAAGGGGUGCUAAUACCGGAUAAUGUCUUCGGACCAAAGAUUUAUCGCCUUUGGAUGGGCCCGCGUUGGAUUAGCUAGUUGGUAGGGUAAAAGCCUACCAAGGCGACGAUCCAUAGCUGGUCUGAGAGGAUGAUCAGCCACACUGGGACUGAGACACGGCCCAGACUCCUACGGGAAGCAGCAGUGGGGAAUAUUGGACAAUGGGCGAAAGCCUGAUCCAGCACUGCCGCGUGAGUGAUGAAGGCCUUAGGGUUGUAAAGCUCUUUUACCCGGGAUGAUAAUGACAGUACCGGGAGAAUAAGCUCCGGCUAACUCCGUG